rnacentral:lncRNA from 1 species
UUUUUAUGUGGCAAUCAGAAAGUCCGCGUGGCUGCCAUGUAAGAUCCAAUUUAUUUUAAAUAAUGGAUCCUCUAAUCCUAGUCGUUUUCCACUAAAAAGAUUACAUCUAUCCCUAACGCUAAAAAUUAUAUUUCUUCAAACUAUCUCUUUAUCUCUAUAAUUUUUACUUCAUUUCCAACUCUUAUCUUUCCCCUCUUCUUCAUCUUUCACUUCACCUACAAAGAAUCCAUCUUGAUUUCUGGUGUAAGAAAACGAUAUGAGGAGCAACAUUGUCAUGACAACUGAUCUUCGUCUUUCACUUCGCCUACAAAGAAUCCAUCUUGAUUUCUAGUGUAAGAAAACGAUUGAGCAGUAAUGUUGUCAUAUGACAAUUGAUUGGAUUAAGAGGCUCCCAUUAGAAGACCCACCUGAUGAUGGUAAGCCAAUUAUGUUUUCCUUUUAGCAUUAGUAUUCCAUAAAUAAAUCUAUGACUCAAUUCAUUUCUCUUUAUGUCUAUAAAAUACUUAGGAAUUUUGUGGCUUUAAUCGAAAAUUAAUUAAUUAAUUUCUUACUGAAUUGAUUUUUAUUUUUUAGAAUUUUAUUAUUUUGUGCAUUAAGGACUUCCUUUUAAUAUUUCAGUAUACACAUGCACCAUGUUGGGGUCGAUUCAAAAGGUGAUUUUGAACAAAGAGUUAUUAGGUUUAUAAAUUACUACAGUAGUGAUAAAAUGUCUAUGCUUGAGAUUAUAAGCAUGGCCAAGGAGUUAGGUAUUGGAGUAAGGAAUAAAACAUCUUGUGGUUACAUCCAAAAAAAUUAUUUAGCAAUGGGUUAAGAAGCUUAGAUAAUGAUAAUGAUUCAAUUGAAAUGUCAUUAUUUGUGGACAGCACUAAGAUUAUACAUGUGUAUGUUAGAGAUAUGGGAAGUGAAUUUGUGGAAGUGGAAGUGGAGGUUAGGCAAGGUGCUACUGAGGAAGUAGAAAAUGUGCAAGAGGUGGAUGAUGAUAAGAGUGAAACCGAAAGGGAAGACUGAAGAUAUUGAUUUUCUAGAUUCUGAUUAUGACCUAAAAAAUGAUAAAGAUGAUGAUAUUUUUUAUAAGUAUGUUGACAUAGAGAUAAAGAGGGAUAAUAAUAGAAAUUAUGCUAUUGUGGAAGAAGAAGUAGACUGCGACGAGACAUCCUAUGCUGAUUGAGAAGAAUUAGACUCUUGUUCUCAGACUGAUGAGUCUGAUAAAGAAACUUAAAGGCUUAUAUUUCAUAAAUUCAAUGAGGAGACAAAUAUGGCAGAUCCUCAUUUCAAGAUUGAGAUAAAAUCCCAAAGUUUUAAAUAGUUCAAGAAUGCAAUUAGGAGCCAUUCAAUUAAACAUAAGGUUCAAGUGAAAUUUAAUCCUAACAAUAAGAAGAAGUGCAAGGCAAUUUGCAAGCAAGGGUGUCCUUUUUAUAUAUGGGCUUCUCCUAUGCCUAAGGAUAAGUGUACAUUCAAAUGAAAUCAGGAAUUUUGGAGCAUAAAUAUAGCGAGGAGCGUAGUAUUAGACAUGUUAAUGCAGAGUGGAUUGCAAGAACAUAUCUGGAUACUUUUAGAGCUGACAUAGCAUAGACAUUCAAUGGUAUUAUCUAAGCAUUUAAGAGGAAUCAAGAAGUAAAUAUUACUAAGCUAGUUGCAUGGAGAGCUAAGUCAAUUGCUUUGAAGAUUAUUGAUGGUGAUGAGAGGGCAAAAUUUGUCAGGUUACAAGAGUAUGCAUUAGAGAGUUUAAGGAGCAAUCUUGGUUCCAUAUUGAAGUUUCAAUUGGAAAGUGGAGUUUAUCAAGGCAUGUAUGUAUGUUGCUGCCUUGAAAGUUGGUUUCAAAGAAGGAUGUAGACCUUUAAUCUCAGUCGAUGGAUGCUUCUUAAAAGGUAUUUAUGGAGAGCAAUUAUUAACAGUUGUUCGGAUAGAUGCAAAUGAUUGCAUUUAUCCAAUAGCCUAUGCUAUUGUUGGGAAGGCGAACAAAGGGCCCAUUAAUCUAAAUCUAUUUAAAACAAUGUUUAAUCUUACAAGGAAAAUUGAUAUUUAAUAAUUCAUAAACUUAUGUUGAUACACCUUAGCUUUUUUUCUGAACUAAAAAAUACAACUUAGGUUUUAUUUACAAUCUUUUAGCAGUUAAACAUCAUAUUUAAACUACGUUAGUAGCCUUAAAAGAACACUUCAUACAACCCUGCAGUUGCCUCUCAUAAGCCCUAUAAAUGCCCCAUAUUCAUUCAAAGAUCUUCCUCAUUACAUAACCAAUAUAUAUUAAACUAAAUAUCUUAAUCCAUUUCCAAACAAUAACUCCUCUUCUAAAUAAGCCAUUUCCAUUCUCUUUCAUUUCGUUGAACCCUUCGAAGUAAGCCAAGAAUGACAGAUCGAGCAUGAUUUGGCAUGGGUGGAUCAUGCCACUGAAAGAAGUCACAUGCUCUCUAUAUCUACGUUACCAUAAAACAAGAAAAUAAAAAAAAAUCCAAAAGUCAAAUUUCACUAAUUUACAAACAACACAUAAAGCUCACCUUAUAUCUUCAACAACCAAAGAAUCAAAGCCCUAGGUUUGCAUUAGCCCAUGAUGCUUUCAACAUUGCCACUUUAUUGCACUUGCAGUUUGGAAUUGCAAUUUGGUGUUCCAUUUGAUUGAUGUUGCUUUCUUUGCUUAUCUAUAAUGAAAGUUCUAAUAUUUUUUUUAUUUGUCUAUUACAGUAACGAAGAGAGCAAUGCUAGGAAGUCAAGAUGGAUUUUCUUUGUAAGGGAAAUGAAAGAGAAGAAGACCAAAAAGAAAAGAGGAUAGUAAAGAUAGUUUGAAGAGAUGUGAUUUUGAAGGUUAGGAAUAAAGGUAAAUUUUUUUAGUGGGUAUAAGCGCGGCUCUUUCAGGGCCUACCCCAAGUGAUUAUGGCUACAUCACCGUGUUAGAGGUUGUCUCAUCCGUACUAGGCUUGAUUCGAAGUUCGAAAAUAGGUCUCAAGGGAUCACGACAACCGUGGUGAUCACGAAUUAUUGAAGAAGACUAUGACCCGCCACUUGGGUAAAAUAAUCGGAACAAAUAGAGAGGGAUGAAGGAUGACGGCUCAGAUUCCUCGCGGAGAGCCUAACUUUCACCUUCCCCAAAUAAGAUAUUUGGGUUCAGAAAGUUUGGUGUGUGUUGGCAAGGGGUUAGGCACUCUAACACGCUUGGCCACAAAGUUCGGCCUUCACUAGACUCUAAAGCUUUUGGUUUCCCUAAUCAUACUAACCUAGCUUGGUUGCCAACCAUUUUACACUAGUCCAGAGUGUUCCGGAGAAUUCCGCAUUACUCUAGCACUCUCGGCAAAAAAUUUUAGAUUUGAGGCUCCACGGUGUGACACUUAGCUUUAGAACCUACACACUAAAACCAAAACACCCUAUACAUCAUCUUAAAUCAUAUUGAAUUGAAAAGUAAAUAAAAACCAACAAAAACAAAAAACAAAACAAAAUCUAAAAUAGAUAAAAAAAGCAUAAUAAGAAAUUAAAAGAAAUUAGUAGGUUGCCUCACACCAAGCGCUUCUUUAAUGUUGUGUGAGCUAUACGUUGGGAUGAUUUCUCAUCUAGAUUCUAGAAAUUGUAAAACCUCUUUUCCCGAGUGAAAUUCUCCACCAGAAUAGAGUGUGAGCCUCUAUUCAUUUACCUUAAAGUCACCUUUUUUAGGAAGUGAUAAACAACACCAUGUGGAAAGACUUGCUUAACCACAAAUGGACCCGACCAAUGAGGUUUUAACUUACUAGGAAAGAGCCAAAGUCUCGGGUUGAAUAAAAGUACCUUUUCUCUAACCUGAAAUUAUAUGCUGGAGUUGAUUCGAGCAUCAUUCUAUUUCUUUGUGCACUCCUUGGUUAGAUGAGCAUUCUCAUAUGCAUGUAAUCUCCACUUGUCUAGCUCAUUCACCUGUAAAUUCCUUUUCAGCUCUGCGCUAGCUAGAUCAAGGUUAACCUGUUUAACAAAGAUACUAAAUCACUAGUUUGUGAAUUACUAAUAAUAUCACAAUAUAGAUCCCCGGAAAUAGUGUCAAAAACUUGAUGCGCGUUGUUAUGCACACGGCAAAGUGCACUGGUCGUAUCAAGUAAUAUAGCAAUCAAAUAAAAGUUACCGUUCCACUGAGAACCAAAUGUAAAUACUAUUUUCAAACCUUAACUAAUUUCUAGCAAUCGAUUUAUUGUUUAGAACUUCUGAAAUUAAAGAUUAACUAAAUUAAGACAUGAAUGAAAGUGAAUGAAAAGACAAAAUGAAGUGAGAAUCUAUAUAGGUGUUGAAUUCUCAUAAUCUAUUUGCAUAUUUCAUGAAUCAAUUAACAAUUAAAUCAAAACCAAAGAGUUGAAUUGACAAUCAUCUAUGUUAGAUAAAAACCUUUCUCAAGUGAUUAAACUCCUAUUUCCUAAGAGAAGAACAAUGAAUCUCUUCUUUAGCCAACUCACUUAGGUCAUGCAUUAAGUUUAGAAAAUUAUCAUGUCAAAGAGUCUUAUAAGCAACCCUCUAUUUCUAAGAGAGGUCAGUUCAUAGAAAGCUAUCUCUACUCAAUUUUAUGAAAACAAUAUCAAAUCAAUAUGUCGACCUAUCAAUUAAAAUAAAUAAAGCAAAAUCAAAGAAACAAGACAACUUAAUAAUAAUGAUUCAAUUGCAUAAUAAAUGAUUCAAUCUAUACAAAUAAAUUAGAGUUCAUCAAUACCCAAAUAGCAAAAGAUUAUUUCCUACACAUUGAAUUAAAGAAAGAAGAAAAAGGAAAAGAAAUUCUCAAAUUAUUCAUGACUGAAAAGAUAAGGAAAUCCUCCACUUCAAUCUUCAAACUUGGAGACAAUCUAUAGACUUAGUGUUUCUUCCUUCAAAAUCAUGUCCAAAGACCCUAAAUCUCUCUAAGAAUAAAAUUCUAAAACUAUUCUCUCUUUAAGAAAGUGUAAGAAAUUGAAUCCUCUAAUGUAGCAAACACAGGGUGACACGACAGGCACAUGGGAAGAUGACCUAGUUGUGUCACGUGAACUAAUUUGGAAUGCAGAUUUUUGUCUAGAUUCACAUGGGAAUCACAUUGGAAAGACAUCUCCCGAUGUUAGGCAGUGCAGGAAUUGGCAGAAUGAAGAUGUGGCCCACACGAGAAGAUUGCAUGACAAGGUUAACUUCCCAUGUGCCUUCCUGUUGGUUCUAUCCUUUUUUGCCUUUCAAGAGUGCCAUUUUGGCAUGGUUUCCGAAGCCACCGCGGCCUUCACCACGGCCCAUAGUGGCUCAGCACCGGUUAGGGCACGGCCUGGAAGAAGUCAACAGAUGCGGAACGUAGAGGUCCAACACGGCCUGGACUCCGCCCGUGCUAAUCAGCACAGGCUUGACCAUGGCCGUGCUGAAGGGAUUAUAUAGGCAAAAACAAUUUGCUGAAUUAGGGUUUGAUUUUCUGACUUGAUUUCCAUUAUACAAGCUUAAACCAUCUACUUCCGGACUUCAAUUCUCGACAUUAGAAGAUCAUUUCAUCAAUUGAAGGAAGGAGUACAUCUGUUUUAACAUCAAAUUGAAGAUCAAGACAAGAUUUAGGAACAUUCAAAAAGCAAAUUAGGGUUUACUAUUCUAAAUUGGGAAUUUAGGGUUUCUCAUCCAACUUGAAGAAGAAGGGUGUACAUACCUUUAAUUUAAUUUUCUGAAUCUAUUCUUUAUUUUGUGUUGCUUAUUAGUAUGAGUAGCUAAAUUAUCAAACCCAUUUGGGGUUCCUAUGUUGUUG